rnacentral:rRNA from 1 species
CGUGAGAGCAACUGUUCACGCAGUGACGGUAUCUAACCAGAAAGUCACGGCUAACUACGUCCCAGCAGCCGCSGUAAUACGUAGGUCGCAAGCGUUAUCCGGAUUUAUUGGGCGUAAAGCGAGCGCASGCSCUUUGAUAAGUCUSYUGUGAAAGCCUUUGGCUUAACCAAAGAAGUGCAUCGGAAACUGUCAGACUUGAGUGCAGAAGAGGACAGUGGAACUCCAUGUGUAGCGGUGGAAUGCGUAGAUAUAUGGAAGAACACCAGUGGCGAAGGCGGCUGUCUGGUCUGCAACUGACGCUGAGGCUCGAAAGCAUGGGUAGCGAACAGGAUUAGAUACCCUGGUAGUCCAUGCCGUAAACGAUGAGUGCUAGGUGUUGGAGGGUUUCCGCCCUUCAGUGCCGCACUAACGCAUUAAGCACUCCGCCUGGGG